rnacentral:rRNA from 1 species
GGAGGGUGCAAGCGUUGUCCGGAUUUAUUGGGUUUAAAGGGUGCGUAGGCGGCCCGGUAAGUCAGUGGUGAAAGCCUCCAGCUCAACUGGAGAACUGCCAUUGAUACUGCCGGGCUUGAGUACAGACGAGGUUGGCGGAAUUGAUUGUGUAGCGGUGAAAUGCAUAGAUACAAUCAAGAACUCCGAUUGCGUAGGCAGCUAACUAGGCUGUAACUGACGCUGAGGCACGAAAGCGUGGGGAGCGAACAGGAUUAGAUACCCUGGUAGUCCACGCCGUAAACGAUGAUUACUCGAUGUUGGCGAUAAACUGUCAGCGUCUUAGCGAAAGCGUUAAGUAAUCCACCUGGGGAGUACGCCCGCAAGGGUG